rnacentral:tRNA from 1 species
GAGGGUGUAGCUCAGCGGUUAGAGCGUUCGAGCGAGGCACUGAUUGCCUCGUAGCAGCUUGAUGCGCGCCGGUUCGAAUCCGGCCACCCUCU